rnacentral:rRNA from 1 species
UACGUAGGCAGCGAGCGUUGUUCGGAGUUACUGGGCGUAAAGGGCUCGUAGGCGGCCAACUAAGUCAUACAUGAAAUCCCUCGGCUUAACCGGGGAACUGCGUCUGAUACUGGAUGGCUUGAGUUCGGGAGAGGGAUGCGGAAUUCCAGGUGUAGCAGUGAAAUGCGUAGAGAUCGUGAGGAAGACCCGUGGCGAAGGCGGAUCUCUGGACGGCUAAAACUGACGCUGAGGCGCGAAGGCCAGGGGAGCAAACGGG